UCAUGAUCAUUAAAAAUAUUAUGACUAUUGUAUAAAUUGGAACAUUGACUCGAAAGAGAAAAGAUUAAAAUGCGUUCCAUAAACAAUAACAUUAGCUUAAAUAAAAUAAAAAAUCGAACAGGGGGUUUCAUUAUAAAAAGGUCUUUCGCAACUGGCAUCCGAAGUUCAAUUGAUACGAGUGUGGACAUCGUUUGGUCUCGUAUCGAGCCUCUACGAGACGAGAGGCGCGUGUACAGCCAGCGUUAGCUGUAGACCGAGAGUGCUAAAGGAAAAUAUUAAAUUAUUUUAUAUUCAAAUAUACUCAACAACGCCUAGAACACAAAACUUUAUUUGUAGUUUUUUUAUUGAUUGUUAAUUUUAAAUAAAUUAAUACUUGUUUCAAUUAAGCAGCUUUAUUUUUUAGCAAUAUACAAGAAAAAUCAAAAAUGAAGAAACAAUUAAGUACGACUUCAAACUGAAUAAAUAUAUAUGUAUAUGUAUAUAUAUUUGUUCCAGAUGUCAAUCCCAUAACAAAUCCCAUCCUUUUGUUCAUGCAUUUCAUCAACAUUUUAAUGGAAAAUUUGAGUAUUUUUUUCUCAUCCAAUAAAUCCGAUUUCAGCUUUAGCGUGUAUUUUUUUGCUUUUUGUUAUAACAAUCAAGGAACUGGACAAACUUUUAAUUUUCGAGAUUGCCGCACAAACUUUACAAGAUUCACUUAAACGAAACUUGAAGUUUGCAUACACGCACGCAGUACGACGUCAUUUGAAGCCAAAACAUAUGACGAAAACAUUUGAGUUUAAGCGCUAUGGUUGCGUUGCGGUUGCGUGCGACUACGUUGCGGAAUGAUUAGCAACAUGUGACAGACUUAAGUUAGAUUGGUUUUCAGGUUGACUUUUUUAUUUAGCCCAGCUGUUGACGGACUGAGAUAAAUGCACCUUCUGCAUUAUAGCACGACUUGUGUGCUUAAUAAAUAAAUUUCGUAAUUUGUGAAACAAAUUAUAUUUCACGGUAUCCUAAAUAAUUACUCACAUCUACUAUAAUUACUUGGUGCGGGCACUGAUCUUUCCCAUAUUCCUCUAUGGGGCGGAGACAUGGUGCAUAAAAAGCCGGGAUAUCAAAAAGAUCGAUGCCUUUGAAAUGUGGGUGUGGCGGAGGAUGCUGCGAAUACCGUGGACUGCCAUGCGAACAAACGAGUUCAUUCUGAGGCAGCUAGACAUCCGAAAAAGGCUCUCUUCCAUCUGCCGGGAACGUGUUGAGUUUCUUCGGACACAUCAUGCGGUCUCCCAAACAUGAAUUAGAGAAGCUCAUAAUUACGGGUCGAAUAGAAGGCAUAGAAUAGAAUAGCGUGGGGCGUCCUCCAACCAGGUGGACUGACGACUUAGUGCGCACGGCGGCAAGUCGUUGGAUGCGGAAGGCGGAGGACCGCAUUAUGUGGAAGGCAUUGGGAAAGGCCUAUGUCCAGCAGUGGGCAGAUAAAGGCUGAUGAUGAUGAUGAUGAUGAAUAGAAGGCAAGCGCGCCGUGGGCAGAACACCAGCCAGAUGGUCAGAUCUAGCAAGAGAAGCACUCGGUGGUAGUCUGUACCAUGCAGUCCAUGCCACCCAUGAUCGGGCGCAUUGGAAGUACGUCGCAUGUGGUCGCGAUCCUAAGUAGUGAGGGAACGAUAUAGAAGAAGACUAUAAUUACUAUUUAACUUUUUGUUAAUAAAUACAAUUGAAUGUCAUUCAA